rnacentral:rRNA from 1 species
AUAACACCGAGAAAUCGGUGCUAAUACCGAAUAAUAGAGCGGAGCGCAUGCUCCGCGCUUGAAAGUCGGCUUUGAGCUGACACUAUGAGAUGGGCCCGCGGCGCAUUAGCUAGUAGGUGAGGUAACGGCUCACCUAGGCGACGAUGCGUAGCCGACCUGAGAGGGUGAUCGGCCACACUGGGACUGAGACACGGCCCAGACUCCUACGGGAGGCAGCAGUAGGGAAUCUUCGGCAAUGGACGAAAGUCUGACCGAGCAACGCCGCGUGAGUGAUGAAGGUUUUCGGAUCGUAAAACUCUGUUGUCAGGGAAGAACAAGUACGAGAGUAACUGCUCGUACCUUGACGGUACCUGACCAGAAAGCCACGGCUAACUACGUGCCAGCAGCCGCGGUAAUACGUAGGUGGCAAGCGUUGUCCGGAAUUAUUGGGCGUAAAGCGCGCGCAGGCGGUUCUUUAAGUCUGAUGUGAAAGCCCACGGCUCAACCGUGGAGGGUCAUUGGAAACUGGGGAACUUGAGUGCAGGAGAGAAAAGUGGAAUUCCACGUGUAGCGGUGAAAUGCGUAGAGAUGUGGAGGAACACCAGUGGCGAAGGCGGCUUUUUGGCCUGUAACUGACGCUGAGGCGCGAAAGCGUGGGGAGCAAACAGGAUUAGAUACCCUGGUAGUCCACGCCGUAAACGAUGAGUGCUAGGUGUUGGGGGGUUCCACCCUCAGUGCUGACGUUAACACAUUAAGCACUCCGCCUGGGGAGUACGACCGCAAGGUUGAAACUCAAAGGAAUUGACGGGGGCCCGCACAAGCAGUGGAGCAUGUGGUUUAAUUCGAAGCAACGCGAAGAACCUUACCAGGUCUUGACAUCCUCUGACCACUUGAGAGAUCAAGCUUUCCCCUUCGGGGGACAGAGUGACAGGUGGUGCAUGGUUGUCGUCAGCUCGUGUCGUGAGAUGUUGGGUUAAGUCCCGCAACGAGCGCAACCCUUGACCUUAGUUGCCAGCAUUCAGUUGGGCACUCUAAGGUGACUGCCGGUGACAAACCGGAGGAAGGUGGGGAUGACGUCAAAUCAUCAUGCCCCUUAUGACCUGGGCUACACACGUGCUACAAUGGAUGGUACAAAGGGCUGCGAAACCGCAAGGUGGAGCCAAUCCCAAAAAGCCAUUCUCAGUUCGGAUUGUAGGCUGCAACUCGCCUACAUGAAGCCCGGAA